rnacentral:rRNA from 1 species
UACACUAAGUGAUUAAGUUAUACUUUUAGGUAAAAAACACAGUUAGGCUUAUAUGAAUAAAUUUAGUCUAUUAAUUUUCUGUAAAAAAGUAAAAUUUGCAUACAGAUAGCUAACUUAACAAUGACUACUAUGACGCUGAAGCUGUGAUAGUUUUGAGGGAAACUGGGAUUAGAUACCCCAUUAUUCUUGACUGUAAACAUAAUUAAAUUUACCAGAGUACUAUGAAUACUUAAAAAUUUAAAACUCAAAGGGCUUGGCGGUGUUUUAGACCUAUCAGGGGAACCUGUCUCAUAAUCGACAAUCCACGCUAUACCUAACCUCAUUUUGCACUCAGUUUGUAUACCGUCGUCGUCAGGUAACUUUUAAAAACAUAGAAGUUAGCAAUAUAAAUUAAAUAAAUUAAAACGUCAGAUCAAGGUGCAGCCUAUGAUGAGGAGAGGAUGGGUUACAAUUAUUAAACUUAUAAUUACGGAAAUCUAAUUUAAAUUUUAUUUAGAAGGAGGACUUGAAAGUAAACUAAAAUAUAUAAACAGUUUGAAUUAGGCUCUG